ACGGCUCAGUAACACGUGGAUAACCUGCCCUUGGGUCCGGCAUAACCCCGGGAAACUGGGGAUAAUUCCGGAUAACGCACAUAUGCUGGAAUGCUUUGUGCGUAAAAUGGAUUCGUCUGCCCAAGGAUGGGUCUGCGGCCUAUCAGGUAGUAGUGGGUGUAAUGUACCUACUAGCCUACAACGGGUACGGGUUGUGAGAGCAAGAGCCCGGAGAUGGAUUCUGAGACAUGAAUCCAGGCCCUACGGGGCGCAGCAGGCGCGAAAACUUUACAAUGCGGGAAACCGUGAUAAGGGGACACCGAGUGCCAGCAUCAUAUGCUGGCUGUCCAGGUGUGUAAAAUACACCUGUUAGCAAGGGCCGGGCAAGACCGGUGCCAGCCGCCGCGGUAACACCGGCGGCCCGAGUGGUGAUCGUGAUUAUUGGGUCUAAAGGGUCCGUAGCCGGUUUGGUCAGUCCUCCGGGAAAUCUGAUAGCUCAACUAUUAGGCUAUCGGGGGAUACUACCAGACUUGGAACCGGGAGAGGUAAGAGGUACUACAGGGGUAGGAGUGAAAUCUUGUAAUCCCUGUGGGACCACCUGUGGCGAAGGCGUCUUACCAGAACGGGUUCGACGGUGAGGGACGAAAGCUUGGGGCACGAACCGGAUUAGAUACCCGGGUAGUCCCAGCCGUAAACGAUGCUCGCUAGGUGUCAGGCAUGGCGCGACCGUGUCUGGUGCCGCAGGGAAGCCGUGAAGCGAGCCACCUGGGAAGUACGGCCGCAAGGCUGAAACUUAAAGGAAUUGGCGGGGGAGCACAAU
rnacentral:rRNA from 1 species